UGACUAUAUCACGUUGAAACACUGAUUCCCGUGCGAUCACCGAAGUUAAACAACGUCGAGCCUGGUCAGCACCUUGAUGGGUGACCGGUUAGGAAUACCAG